AUCUUUCUAGUAUCAAAGCUAGUACAUGUGACUUCCAAUCACUUAGUCUUGGUUAAAGCCCAAGGAAAGAUA
rnacentral:tRNA from 1 species